GUGGGGAAUAUUGCACAAUGGGCGCAAGCCUGAUGCAGCCAUGCCGCGUGUGUGAAGAAGGCCUUCGGGUUGUAAAGCACUUUCAGCGAGGAGGAAGGCGUUAAGGUUAAUAACCUUGGCGAUUGACGUUACUCGCAGAAGAAGCACCGGCUAACUCCGUGCCAGCAGCCGCGGUAAUACGGAGGGUGCAAGCGUUAAUCGGAAUUACUGGGCGUAAAGCGCACGCAGGCGGUUUGUUAAGUCAGAUGUGAAGUCCCCGAGCUUAACUUGGGAACUGCAUUUGAAACUGGCAAGCUAGAGUCUUGUAGAGGGGGGUAGAAUUCCAGGUGUAGCGGUGAAAUGCGUAGAGAUCUGGAGGAAUACCGGUGGCGAAGGCGGCCCCCUGGACAAAGACUGACGCUCAGGUGCGAAAGCGUGGGGCAGCAAACAGGAUUAGAUACCCUGGUAGUCCACGCUGUAAACGAUGUCGAUUUGGAGGUUGUGGGCUUGACCCGUGGCUUCCGGAGCUAACGCGUUAAAUCGACCGCCUGGGGAG
rnacentral:rRNA from 1 species